UAAUACGGAGGGGGUUAGCGUUGUUCGGAAUUACUGGGCGUAAAGCGCGCGUAGGCGGAUUGGAAAGUUGGGGGUGAAAUCCCGGGGCUCAACCCCGGAACUGCCUUCAAAACUCCCAGUCUAGAGUUCGAGAGAGGUGAGUGGAAUUCCGAGUGUAGAGGUGAAAUUCGUAGAUAUUCGGAAGAACACCAGUGGCGAAGGCGGCUCACUGGCUCGAUACUGACGCUGAGGUGCGAAAGUGUGGGGAGCAAACAGGAUUAGAUACCCUGGUAGUCCACACCGUAAACGAUGAAUGCCAGUCGUCGGAUAGUAUACUAUUCGGUGACACACCUAACGGAUUAAGCAUUCCGCCUGGGGAGUACGGUCGCAAGAUUA
rnacentral:rRNA from 1 species